AUCAUUUUUUUGGCCUUUUGGCUAAGAUCAAGUAUAAUAUUUUUAUCAGUUUAAUAUCUGCUAUGUAAAAAAAAUUUUAUAUUAAAAACAAUUCCCCUCUGUGCUUCAACUACA
rnacentral:snRNA from 1 species